GACGAACGCUGGCGGCGUGCUUAACACAUGCAAGUCGAACGGAAAGGCCCUGCUUUUGUGGGGUGCUCGAGUGGCGAACGGGUGAGUAACACGUGAGUAACCUGCCCUUGACUUUGGGAUAACUUCAGGAAACUGGGGCUAAUACCGGAUAGGAGCUCCUGCUGCAUGGUGGGGGUUGGAAAGUUUCGGCGGUUGGGGAUGGACUCGCGGCUUAUCAGCUUGUUGGUGGGGUAGUGGCUUACCAAGGCUUUGACGGGUAGCCGGCCUGAGAGGGUGACCGGCCCAAUGGGGCAUGAGAAACGGCCCAGCCCCCUACGGGAGGAAGCGGUGGGGAAUUUUGCACAAGGGGGGGAAGCUGGAUGCAGCAACCCCGGGGGGGGGAGGACGGCCUUCGGGGUGUAAACCGCUUUCGCCGGUGAAGAAGCGGGAGGGACGGUAAGGGGUAAAGAAACCCCGGCUAACUACGU
rnacentral:rRNA from 1 species